GAUGAACGCUGGCGGCGUGCCUAAUACAUGCAAGUCGAGCGAACAGACGAGGAGCUUGCUCCUCUGACGUUAGCGGCGGACGGGUGAGUAACACGUGGAUAACCUACCUAUAAGACUGGGAUAACUUCGGGAAACCGGAGCUAAUACCGGAUAAUAUAUUGAACCGCAUGGUUCAAUAGUGAAAGACGGUUUUGCUGUCACUUAUAGAUGGAUCCGCGCCGCAUUAGCUAGUUGGUAAGGUAACGGCUUACCAAGGCAACGAUGCGUAGCCGACCUGAGAGGGUGAUCGGCCACACUGGAACUGAGACACGGUCCAGACUCCUACGGGAGGCAGCAGUAGGGAAUCUUCCGCAAUGGUCGAAAGCCUGACGGAGCAACGCCGCGUGAGUGAUGAAGGUCUUCGGAUCGUAAAGCUCUGUUAUUAGGGAAGAACAAAUGUGUAAGUAACUAUGCACGUCUUGACGGUACCUAAUCAGAAAGCCACGGCUAACUACGUG
rnacentral:rRNA from 1 species